rnacentral:tRNA from 1 species
GUGAGUUCAGCUGAAGCUUUCAGCUCUGGCUUUACACGCGACGGGUCGGGGGUUCGAAUCCCUCACCGCCCACCA